rnacentral:rRNA from 1 species
AUUAAAAAGAAAAUUGUUAAAUCAAUUUAAUUUGAAUAUAUUAAAUUAUUUGAUUUUAAUAUAAAAAAUAUAUUUUAUAUUAUUAUAUAAAUAGAAAAUUUUUGAGAAGUGAUAGUUAAUUAGUAUAGUAAUAGAAAUUUUAUUUAUAUUAUAAAGAAUAAUAUUUUUAGUACCUUGUGUAUCAGGGUUUAUUUAAUAAGUUUAAUUUAUUUUAUAUUCUCGAAUUGAGAAGAGAUAUUAAUUUAUAUUUUUUAUUGUAAAAUAAAUAUUAUGAAUAUUUUAAUUGAAAUGAAAUGUUAUUCGAGUCUUAAUUUAUCUAGUUUUUAAAGAAAAAAGUUUAAUUUUAUUAGUUAUUUUUAAUAAUAAUAGUUUUAUUGUUAUUUAUAAUAAUUGAUUAUUUAUUUGAGGAUAAGCUGAAAUAAGGAUUGUUAUAAAAUAUAUUAUGAUUUUAAUAAAGUAGUAAUAGAAAUUUUUAUCUUUUAUAGUAUGUUAUAAUUAAAUUUAUAAUUUAUAUAAUUUAUAUGUUUUUUAAUUUUUUUAUUUAAAAAUUUUAUAUAAUAAAAGUAUAAUAGUUAUAAUGAUAAAAUUAGUAUAAUUUAUUGUUAAUUAUAUUAAAAUAUAAAUGUAAUAUAAAGGAAUUCGGCAAAUAAUUUUUCGCCUGUUUAAUAAAAACAUGUCUUUUUGAUUAUAAUUUAAAGUCUGAUCUGCCCACUGAAAUUUUAAAUGGCUGCAGUAUUUUGACUGUACAAAGGUAGCAUAAUAAUUAGUUUUUUAAUUGAAAGCUUGUAUGAAUGAUUUGACGAGAAAAUUACUGUCUCUAUAUUAUUUUAAUAGAAUUUUAUUUUUAAGUUAAAAAGCUUAAAUGAUAUUAAAAGACGAGAAGACCCUUUAGAGUUUUAUAUGUAUUUAUAAUAAAGAUUAUUAUUUAAUAUUUUUUAUUUGUAUGUAUUUUAUUGGGGUGAUAGAAAAAUUUAAUUAACUUUUUUUAUAUUUAAACAAUUAUACUUGAUUUAUUGAUCCAUUUUUAUGAUUAAAAGAUUAAAUUACCUAAGGGAUAACAGCGUAAUUUUUUUAGAGAGUUCAAAUCGAAAAAAUAGAUUGCGACCUCGAUGUUGGAUUAAAAUUAAAAUUUGGUGUAGAAGCUAAAUGAUUAGGUCUGUUCGACCUUUAUAAUUUUACAUGAUCUGAGUUUAGACCGGCGUGAGCCAGGUUGGUUUCUAUCUUUAAUAAAUUUUAAUGUUUUAGUACGAAAGGACCAAAUAUUAAUAACAUUUAUUUUUAUGGGAAUGUUAUUUUGGC